rnacentral:rRNA from 1 species
GAUGAACGCUGGCGGCGUGCCUAAUACAUGCAAGUCGAGCGAACAGACGAGGAGCUUGCUCCUCUGACGUUAGCGGCGGACGGGUGAGUAACACGUGGAUAACCUACCUAUAGGACUGGGAUAACUUCGGGAAACCGGAGCUAAUACCGGAUAAUAUAUUGAACCGCAUGGUUCAAUAGUGAAAGACGGUUUUGCUGUCACUUAUAGAUGGAUCCGCGCCGCUUUAGCUAGUUGGUAAGGUAACGGCUUACCAAGGCAACGAUGCGUAGCCGACCUGAGAGGGUGAUCGGCCACACUGGAACUGAGACACGGUCCAGACUCCUACGGGAGGCAGCAGUAGGGAAUCUUCCGCAAUGGGCGAAAGCUUGACGGAGCAACGCCGCGUGAGUGAUGAAGGUCUUCGGAUCGUAAAACUCUGUUAUUAGGGAAGAACAAAUGUGUAAGUAACUAUGCACGUCUUGACGGUACCUAAUCAGAAAGCCACGGCUAACUACGUG